UACCUACACAAAACCAUCCCCUUAAGUGUACUUUCUACAGACUGGUGAGAUUGUCGCUAAUGCAUUUUCAUCUCACUUGGAUGACACUAGUACAUGUUAACCAGGCUGCAACCCUUUUGUUCCAUUUCAGAUCUCAAUCUCAAAUUUAAAUUUAUGAGUAAAUAAAAUAUUAAUUUUAAUAUUAUCCCCAAUAGUAGUUCCUGACCUUAAGUUAGAGAUUCCUCAUUAAUUUGCAAGGAAUUUAUUAUCUCAGUGAAUUCAUUUUUCCCUCUCUCCUAGUUGCUGAGUAUUUCUUUGACAGGUUUAAAACUGUUCCUUUUACACUAUUUAUUUUCCCUUGCGGCUUACCUUUUCCUCUUUUGCAGCUGUGCUUCUUGAGCCUCUUGCAGCUGCCCCUGUCCCUAUUUCUUGCAACCUCCUCCCUCUAAUUGCUGCAUCCAUAAUAUUUUCCAAAUAGGUUGAACAAUUAUUCUGUCUGGGGUUGAAGACAAGAAGUGAAUGUCAGAAAAUUCUGGAAAUGUUUGACUGGAAUCUGGAAUUAGCCAGUUGCCACCUGCUAGACACUUACAGUACAGCUCGACACAGGCGAUAAUUAGUUCUCAGUGGAGAAAAUGAACUGAAGACAUGACUGGUUUAUUGCCCCAGUACCUGUCUUGUCUUGUUGGGUUGACUAAAUAUUGACCUGCAAGUGCCAGAAAGAAGAGGUAUGAAAUGUCCAUCACUGAGUUCAACUCUCACACUAGUUGUGCAUUCUGAUAGUACUGGGAGAUGGAAGUCAAUUUCUGAAAUGACAGUAUUCUUCAAAAGCAACAGGUUAUUUGUUUUGUUUUGAUGAAAAUAUUUGUAAUUUUAUGGCAUACUAUAAUCCAACAGCCUGCUGUGUGUACAUAUAUAUAUAUAUAAAAUUAUAUAUAAAUAUAUAAUAUAAAUUUUAUUUGAAAACUUGUUGACAGUAGAUUACAGUUGUGUUUAUAUUUUGAAUUUGUCGUAUUGGAUGUUUUAAUAAUUAUUUAAUUUGCUUUCCUAAAAGACAGUUGAAUGAUUCAGUUUAAUGUUCUGGAUUUCCUAUUAAGGUAAAGUUUAUCCAUUUUAAAUACAUACAGAAAUUGCAGCCUUUUAAAAGCCAUCAACACUAGUUCACCGAAACAAAGUUUGAAUUAAGCCAGUUAUUCUAAAUGUGUCAAAAGUAUUUUCUACUUCAGUACGUUUAAUUGCUGCUUUCUUGCUGCUGUUUUGAAAUAACCUGUAAGUUGGAAUAAUAGAUUUAAGACCUCACAUAAUUACAGUCAAGUUUUGGGUUUGUUCCCUAUCCUCAUUAGUCAGAGUAACAUUCUGAACGUCAUCAUUUCAAGUCUUGAAGUUCCCUAAUAACAGUAAGUUUAGCUUUUUAUCUGUUCACCAGGUCAGCAUUGGUGUUUCUAGCAGUACAGAGAGUAAUAAUGAGACAAGAUACAUGAGUAAAACUUGGCAGCAAUUGUGGAAAAGUCUAUACUGCAUUUUGCUGACCCAUUCCAUUACCUCAAGGUGUAGCAACAUUGUCUUGGGGAAAAUUAUAAAGGACAGAUUAAAUUUUGGAGGUGGUUGAUUUCAUCUGUAUUGUAAAUGGUGAGGAAAAUUAUUCAUUCAUUUUAGUUAUGAAAACCAGAAUAGUUGGGUUGGGGAAGCAACUAACUCAAGUUGACCAUUGUUUAUUUUAUGGUGUUACAUAGGCACUCUAAUAUAUGGCAAAUCACAUCUGCAAAAUGCGGCUAAAUUUCUGGUUUUAAUUUUAUUAUUCAGAUAUCCCUCCUUCCAUACAGAUCAAGUGAUUUAUUGCUUUCAGUUUAUAAAUACAUUAGUCAUUAAAAGGUGGUGUUCUCAUUCUUGGCAUCUGUUUGAUUUUGAAGUGAGUUUUUGCCUCCUUAUUUUAUCCUUCACAAAGCCCACCAACAUCCAACUUUGCAGCAUCGCCUACUUAAACCCUUCUGACACUGAGAAACUUAUCCAUGCUUUUAUUACUUCCAGAUUCAACUACUUCAUGCUCUCCUUUUAGACGUCUAUCUUCCAAACAAAAAAUCAUUUUCAAAUUCUGCUGCCUGUGUUAUGUCAUGAGCCAAGUCUCAUUCACCCAUUAUGGCUGUUCUUAAUUAUUUACAUUCAGUUUCAGUCUCUGUUUCCUGUACAGUUGUCUUUCAAAUGAUUUCUAUGAUCUGUUAGGUUUGCAAUCCCUCCUCAUUGUUCUUAGUUUAAAUUCAGUUCAAAACUGAAAAAAAUGGUAUUAUACUACAAAAUCUAAAUUGCAAUUAGUUUGUAGAAAAAUCAGUCUUGGCACCCUGUAUAAAUGUCAAAAAAACUGUUGUUGGGGUAACAAAGGAUAUUGUGAAAUUCCCCUUCUGUUUAAGUUAAUUAUCCGUCCAGUAUUACAAAGGUGCAUGUUGCAGAUGCGGCAUUACUAUGGGCUAGAAAUGUAUCCUUCUGAAACUGCAAGAACAGUAGUUCCUCUUUUCAGAUAGAAAAUGGGAUUUUCCAGUUUUGUAGUUUUUAAGGUUCUCCAUUAACUAGCUGAGAGAUUGAGUGAACUAGAAGCAAAUUUUUAUUAUGGUUCUAUUCUAAAUCUAGCUUCAUUUUUAAGCGUGGGGAAUUGAGGAAGUGAUGUUUUAAUCACACAAUAGCUUGACCUUUAGCUGGGAGACCUUUCGAGUAGGUACAGAUUUCAGCCCAUAUUCUCAAAUCAUUCUAACUUGCAGUUUCUGCAGGUAUGACUAAGCCUGUAUUAUAGUUUAUGUGGCCAAAGUAAAACUCAAUAUCCUGGGCAUCACCGCAGUCUGAAGGAAGCUGUAUGUGAUUCAGAGUUCCAAUUUUAUUUUGUGUAUUAUUAACUUUUAUCGGUUAGAUUCAAACUGGGAGCUGUAUGGUAUUCUGUUCAUCCUGACAAUGGCAGUAACAUUUGUGCUAGAAUCAAAAUUAAAGCAAGAUUCCUAGCCUUUAAUAGAUUCUAAGAUAAUAUCAAUUAAAUAUGCCCUGUAGCUGGGCAUAUGCUCUUAAACGAUAUGAGAUACUUUACAAAAUAGAAUUAUCACCAUUCUAAUCCCACAGCAAGUCACUCUUUGAAUUCUUACGUGAAAGGAAAGCUGCAUUUUAGAAGUAGGAAAAGGUCUUGCCUUGUUCAAAGGGUUACUAUACCUGAAGAGCACAAUAUUUGCACAAUAGGCUGCAGCACGGUAUUUGCACCCCCCGCCCUUAGUAAAUAAUCUUCAAUUUCAUUGGAGUGAUUCCACAGUCCUGUUAAGAUGCAUUGACCACCUGGGGAGUGGAUCAGGUAGAUGAGACAAAACAUCACACUUUAUAAUGUUUCUUCGACUUUUUCUACUACAUAUCUCCCACUUGGUGCCACAUAUUGUUUCAUUCAAGUAAUUAGUACAGGACAGUCUUGAACAUCAAUUGUUUUCAUCACAUCAAAAGUGUUAUUGCAAAAUCAAGAAUCCAGCUCCAAUUAAACCUAUACUUCAGAGUUCAAAGUCAACUUGAUUCAUUUUUCAUGCUGAAUUUCAAGUUAUUGACUGAUAGCACAAUAAUGCCAGAGUUGCUAAAAUGUUCUCUAAAACCAGAACUCUCUCUAACUUUUUAAUCAAUGGGCUAGAUAGUAUGAAUAAUAUGCACUUCACUGCAUCUCAUUUAACCUUCCUUCAUUAGCAUUAUAUCUGAUAAUGCCCAAAAUAAAUGGUGCUGGAGAAUGACUGACUGACUGCAUUGGUCAGCUUUGGACCUAAAAACUGCCAGCAAGUGUCUUUGUAAGAAAAGUAGUAUCAUUUGGCAAAUGGUCCACAUGAGUGACUUAAAGAUAAAAUGUUGCUGUCAUGAGCAACUCUGAGUUUUAAAGCAGAGAAACUAGCAAAGAUUAAAUUUAAUGCCAUUAUGUAUGGAUAUUGUGUCGGUGCUGGGGACUUCUGAGAAACUGAAUACUGCACGUUUGUAUAAAGUUUAUUUUUCAGUUGUUUUGAUGGGAGUCUGGUUGUUGCAUGUCUUGUACUCAGCAUUGCUUGGAUUGCAACAUUGUAAUAAUGCUACAUUUGAGAAAAAAAAUGUUAGUGUUAACUCAGGUCUGGUUGGAUCCUUGCAAAACAAAUAAAACUUGUGUAUACUGAAACCUGAGGUAAUUCCCUCUGUAAUAUAAGAACCGUAUUGAUGUUUUGCUUUGAAUCCCUUGAAUAUUUGUAAGGACUGUACUAUUCAUGAUCGACUAUAUCUGUACAAUUUCACUGUAGCAUCCAUCAAAAUAAGACUAAAGCUCACAGUUUUUUAAUUAAAAAAGGGCAUUAGUACAUUGCUGCUAUGUUUCUCCCAUUUCACUUUCUCUUUGGAUUGCUGUUUCAUGAAUCUAUGUGUGUGAAGAGCACUCACAUAAAAAGUUGGCCAUGUUGAACCUGAUACUGAUGCCCAUGACAACAGUAAUAAAUAAAAUACCAUAUCAAUACCUAUAACAAGGUAUAUGUAUAAGAUAUAAGAACUUAUCUUAUGUCAGUCCUUCCAGAAUAAAACUAUAGUAUCAUCAUGUUUUUCUCCCUGAUCAGUGCUGGCAAUGCAAUAUUGGUUAUAUAAAAAAACCAUCAGUGAAAAGAUGUGAGCAGGGAAGGAGAGAAAAUAAUUUAGUGCUGCUUAGCAGAACCAUUAGUUUGCUUUGACCAAUCCAAAGAAAAUAUAUAAUAUGGUGAGAAACACAAUAGCAUGUUCAAAGCAUUGUAUACAUUGUGUUGUUUUCAUAAAAUAAAAAGUUUAUUUCUGAAAUAAAUGAA